AUGGCGCUCGAUCUCCCGCGCCGCGCGCCAUCUCUUCCCCUCUCGCGCGCGAAGAUCUCUUCCCCUCCCGACACAAAUCCACCGAAAAAAAAAUCCCCAUCUACUAUUUUGCCGGCCCCAAAAAUCCGCCAUGUCUCGCCGGAGGAAGAGGGAGGUUGCGCCACCUCCACAUACCAGCUCUUCUUAUCCUCCUGGUGUUCCUACCCUGUCGGCAGUGCCAUAUCCUUAUGGAGGUCCUUGGUUCGCCACCCCACCGCCAGCUUGGUUUGCUUCUCCACCAUCGCAAGCCAUGCCGAGUUCAUCUGUAUAGAAGUGGAAUCUCGUCCUCUUGGUGGGUUUGUUAAUCUUAUCAAUGCCCCAUCAAACCAUAUGCAUCAUGUCGCCGAAGGGAGUCCAUCACGGCCUAUCAAUGUUGAGAAUGGAGAUGUCUUUAGGACUAAGAAACGCUUGUCAUGGACGAACGAUGAAGACUUGAGAUUGAUAAGUGGCCUAUGUGAGUUAUUUAUUUGUCAAUGUGAUGUGCAUCACUCACAUUACUAACACCAGUAAA
rnacentral:lncRNA from 1 species